CUCUGCAUUGGGAGCAUGGAGUCUCAACCACUGGACCACCAGUGGCCGUUUUAUAAUUGCACUGACUUCUUUCCAACACCCGACACGUGCCUCACCAAUCGUCAGCCAAACAGCAGGUGCUCCGGGGACCCAGACCAUCCAAUGCUGAACUAAGGGAAAAUGAAAGAGACUCCAGCCCCGACUCCAUUAUCUGGCCUGAUGAGUGGGCUCUCGUGGACUCUCAUAACCUUUUGAUGAAUUUCAUGUUUUCCCCAAAGAGUCGCUGGAUUUGCUGCCCGGCUGGCCGUCUUUACUGGAGGCCCACUGCUUUUGCUCUUGACACUCCUGGGCCUGCUGGCUCCAGCUUCUCCUGGACACUGAAGGGAAGGGAAGAAAGUCAUUACGGUUGAUGAACAAGGAGAUGCUGGUGGCCUGAGCAGUAAGGGGCUGAGAUAGGCAGGGGCCCUGAAGAGUGUGGGAGGGCUUGAGAUGAACUUUCUCAGAAACAAUUUUCCAAGUACAUUUCAAGACUCUAAACAGAAAUUAAAAACAAAACAACACAGAAAACAUGAAAACCCCAGUCUAUGAGAGGGUGUGCCUCUCAUAGAUGCGGUUGACCAUCUGAGGGUGAGCACCCCAGCAGGGGAGGGUGGGGGUGGGAGAACGCGGAAGCCACUCUGUCCAGGGGGACCUCCUCGGUCACAGCUGCCCGUUCAUGCAGCACAGAGCCCGGAGGUGGCACUGCUGGACAGGUAUUCCAUCCGCUGCCUUCUGCACACCAUUUGGGGUUGGCCAUCCUGCUUCAAGGACAGGAUAUGAGGAGGCCCCGCAGUGAUCUCUGUCAGGCCCUUCUGUGUCUCAGAAAACCUCAGUUUCACUCUCUAGGAAAUGGAAUAAAGUCUUGUGGAAAUGAAUUAAUGCUGCCUCUAUUCAAUCCUUUAGGAACAGCUUCCAGGUAAAAAAAAA